rnacentral:rRNA from 1 species
AUUAGAGUUUGAUCCUGGCUCAGAUUGAACGCUAGCGGGAUGCCUUACACAUGCAAGUCGAACGGCAGCGCGGACUUCGGUCUGGCGGCGAGUGGCGAACGGGUGAGUAAUGUAUCGGAACGUGCCUAGUAGCGGGGGAUAACUACUCGAAAGAGUAGCUAAUACCGCAUACGCCCUACGGGGGAAAGGGGGGGAUCGCAAGACCUCUCACUAUUAGAGCGGCCGAUAUCGGAUUAGCUAGUUGGUGAGGUAAAGGCUCACCAAGGCGACGAUCCGUAGCUGGUUUGAGAGGACGACCAGCCACACUGGGACUGAGACACGGCCCAGACUCCUACGGGAGGCAGCAGUGGGGAAUUUUGGACAAUGGGGGCAACCCUGAUCCAGCCAUUCCGCGUGUGCGAUGAAGGCCUUCGGGUUGUAAAGCACUUUUGGCAGGAAAGAAAUCGCACCAAUUAAUACUUGGUGUGGAUGACGGUACCUGCAGAAUAAGCACCGGCUAACUACGUGCCAGCAGCCGCGGUAAUACGUAGGGUGCAAGCGUUAAUCGGAAUUACUGGGCGUAAAGCGUGCGCAGGCGGUUCGGAAAGAGAGGUGUGAAAUCCCAG